AUUGAACGCUGGCGGCAGGCCUAACACAUGCAAGUCGAGCGGAUGAAGGGAGCUUGCUCCUGGAUUCAGCGGCGGACGGGUGAGUAAUGCCUAGGAAUCUGCCUGGUAGUGGGGGAUAACGUCCGGAAACGGGCGCUAAUACCGCAUACGUCCUGAGGGAGAAAGUGGGGGAUCUUCGGACCUCACGCUAUCAGAUGAGCCUAGGUCGGAUUAGCUAGUUGGUGGGGUAAAGGCCUACCAAGGCGACGAUCCGUAACUGGUCUGAGGGGAUGAUCAGUCACACUGGAACUGAGACACGGUCCAGACUCCUACGGGAGGCAGCAGUGGGGAAUAUUGGACAAUGGGCGAAAGCCUGAUCCAGCCAUGCCGCGUGUGUGAAGAAGGUCUUCGGAUUGUAAAGCACUUUAAGUUGGGAGGAAGGGCAGUAAGUUAAUACCUUGCUGUUUUGACGUUACCAACAGAAUAAGCACCGGCUAACUUCG
rnacentral:rRNA from 1 species